GGGCAAGUGGCGAAAUGGCAGACGCGCUGGCUUCAGGUGCCAGUGUCCGCAAGGACGUGGGGGUUCAAGUCCCCCCUUGCCCACCA
rnacentral:tRNA from 1 species